rnacentral:rRNA from 1 species
AAAUUGAAGAGUUUGAUCAUGGCUCAGAUUGAACGCUGGCGGCAGGCCUAACACAUGCAAGUCGAACGGUAACAGGAAACAGCUUGCUGUUUCGCUGACGAGUGGCGGACGGGUGAGUAAUGUCUGGGAAACUGCCUGAUGGAGGGGGAUAACUACUGGAAACGGUAGCUAAUACCGCAUAAUGUCGCAAGACUAAAGAGGGGGACCUUCGGGCCUCUUGCCAUCGGAUGUGCCCAGAUGGGAUUAGCUAGUAGGUGGGGUAACGGCUCACCUAGGCGACGAUCCCUAGCUGGUCUGAGAGGAUGACCAGCCACACUGGAACUGAGACACGGUCCAGACUCCUACGGGAGGCAGCAGUGGGGAAUAUUGCACAAUGGGCGCAAGCCUGAUGCAGCCAUGCCGCGUGUAUGAAGAAGGCCUUCGGGUUGUAAAGUACUUUCAGCGGGGAGGAAGGGAGUAAAGUUAAUACCUUUACUCAUUGACGUUACCCGCAGAAGA